rnacentral:rRNA from 1 species
UUUGGUGAUUGAGUGGCGGACGGGUGAGUAACGCGUGGGUAACCUACCCUGUACAGGGGGAUAACAGUCAGAAAUGACUGCUAAUACCGCAUAAGACCACAGCACCGCAUGGUGCAGGGGUAAAAACUCCGGUGGUACAGGAUGGACCCGCGUCUGAUUAGCUGGUUGGUGAGGUAACGGCUCACCAAGGCGACGAUCAGUAGCCGGCUUGAGAGAGUGAACGGCCACAUUGGGACUGAGACACGGCCCAAACUCCUACGGGAGGCAGCAGUGGGGAAUAUUGCACAAUGGGGGAAACCCUGAUGCAGCGACGCCGCGUGAGUGAAGAAGUAUCUCGGUAUGUAAAGCUCUAUCAGCAGGGAAGAAAAUGACGGUACCUGACUAAGAAGCCCCGGCUAACUACGUGCCAGCAGCCGCGGUAAUACGUAGGGGGCAAGCGUUAUCCGGAAUUACUGGGUGUAAAGGGUGCGUAGGUGGUAUGGCAAGUCAGAAGUGAAAACCCAGGGCUUAACUCUGGGACUGCUUUUGAAACUGUCAGACUGGAGUGCAGGAGAGGUAAGCGGAAUUCCUAGUGUAGCGGUGAAAUGCGU